GGGGGUGACGUGGAAUGACCGUUGUUUAGCGGGAAUGUAAGCAAGUAUCGGAUUUUCUAUUAACGUGUCCGAUUAAUAAAUUAGUAGGAACUAUUUUAAGUGGAAACACGAACGAAGUUGGCUCUUUAGCUGACGUAUUAGCAGUAGUUAAUACAGCGAAAGCUGUAGCUUAAUUGGAGAAUUAAGUCUACUUGUUGAUAUUCAACAAAACUCAAAGCAGGCGUGGUUACUGGACUGUACCAAUACAAGUAACACAGAGUUUGUUCAUUCUCUGAAACAAGGUGAACUUAGUUGUCGGUUUAGAAAAACCGAAUAAACUUGAAGAAAGCUUUUCUAACAUUCAUUGGAUACGAGGGUUCGAUCCCCUCCACCUCCACCA
rnacentral:tmRNA from 1 species